AACGAACGCUGGUGGCAUGCCUAACACAUGCAAGUCGAACGAGACCUUCGGGUCUAGUGGCGCACGGGUGCGUAACGCGUGGGAACCUGCCCUUAGGUUCGGAAUAACUCCCCGAAAGGGGUGCUAAUACCGGAUAAUGUCUUCGGACCAAAGAUUUAUCGCCUUUGGAUGGGCCCGCGUUGGAUUAGCUAGUUGGUAGGGUAAAAGCCUACCAAGGCGACGAUCCAUAGCUGGUCUGAGAGGAUGAUCAGCCACACUGGGACUGAGACACGGCCCAGACUCCUGCGGGAGGCAGCAGUGGGGAAUAUUGGACAAUGGGCGAAAGCCUGAUCCAGCAAUGCCGCGUGAGUGAUGAAGGCCUUAGGGUUGUAAAGCUCUUUUACCCGGGAUGAUAAUGACAGUACCGGGAGAAUAAGCUCCGGCUAACUCCGUG
rnacentral:rRNA from 1 species